rnacentral:tRNA from 2 species
UAGAAUGUAGCUUUAAAGUCAAAGCAUCUCCCUUACACCGAGAAGACACCCGUGCAAACCGGGUCACUCUAA